rnacentral:rRNA from 1 species
UACGUAGGGGGCAAGCGUUGUCCGGAUUUAUUGGGCGUAAAGAGCGCGUAGGCGGCCCGGAAAGUCGGAUGUGAAAACCCGGGGCUCAACCCCGGGCCUGCAUCCGGAUACCUCCCGGGCUGGAGGCAGGUAGGGGAGAUCGGAAUUCCUGGUGUAGCGGUGAAAUGCGCAGAUAUCAGGAGGAACACCGGUGGCGAAGGCGGAUCUCUGGGCCUGUCCUGACGCUGAGGCGCGAAAGCUAGGGGAGCGAACAGG